AUUGAACGCUGGCGGCAGGCCUAACACAUGCAAGUCGAGCGGAUGAGUGGAGCUUGCUCCAUGAUUCAGCGGCGGACGGGUGGGUAAUGCCUAGGAAUCUGCCUGGUAGUGGGGGACAACGUUUCGAAAGGAACGCUAAUACCGCAUACGUCCUACGGGAGAAAGUGGGGGAUCUUCGGACCUCACGCUAUCAGAUGAGCCUAGGUCGGAUUAGCUAGUUGGUGAGGUAAAGGCUCACCAAGGCGACGAUCCGUAACUGGUCUGAGAGGAUGAUCAGUCACACUGGAACGGAGACGCGGUCCAAACUCCUACGGGAGGCAGCAGUGGGGAAUAUUGGACAAUGGGCGAAAGCCUGAUCCAGCCAAGCCGCGUGUGUGAAGAAGGUCUUCGGAUUGUAAAGCACUUUAAGUUGGGAGGAAGGGCAGUAAGUUAAUACCUUGCUGUUUUGACGUUACCAACAGAAUAAGCACCGGCUAACUUCGUG
rnacentral:rRNA from 1 species